UGCAGGUCUUUGGAGACGGACCAUCAUGUGUUAUAUAGACUAUCCUUAAUAGGCUAGUUCUGUUUCUGGUAUUUGUGAUGCAGGUCUUUGGAGACGGACCAUCAUGUGUUAUAUAGUCUAUCUUUAAGAGGUUAGCUUGAGACCUUGUUUGUCAAAAGCAUGUUUUAUGACCUUAAAGAGUAGUGAUCUCAAGGUUACCUUGAAAGGGUUGCUUGCACUAAUACUUUCCAGAGGUUGCUGGUGGAAUUACGGUUUCCAAUAGAGUGCAUGCUACAGGCUGCGCGACAACCUUGUCAUGAAGGGCCAACGUCUGCGGUCGUUGCGCCGCCAGCCUCGAAAGCAGCCGUAUCACCGUGGCUUGCGUAUGAAGCUUUGAUAUGAGCUUUUUAAUAAGAGCUUUCUUGCUGCUUGCUGUGUUAGAAGGCGGCUAUGCUCACGCAUGGAGUGUGUCAUGUUCACCUCUCACGAGUUUGAUGUACGCGUUGUUGUGCGUGCGGGGAGCUUCACAGCCUACAGUGACGGAGCCAACUGUGAGUUUGUUCCAUGUAUUUGCUAUUUAAACGACGCCAAUCAUCAUUAUUAUAUUGAGCGGUUGGUUAGUUUGGAAUGCACCGCUCACGUAAGUCUUAACUUAAGGCAUAAAUGGCAUAAUACUUACCUGAAAAUAAAUGAAAUGUAUUGAUGGGUGAAGUUAUUUACAAGCAAAUAUUAGAUGGUGUUUUGUACACCAGGAAUUACCUGCCCGCCGCUAGAUGUCAUCUAUUUUACAUAAUUAAUUUGACUAAUAUAUAGUAUCGAUCAUGGCGGUAAAACAUGUACUUUUCGUACCAUCGCACCUUAAUAGUUUUAAAGCCUUACUGGC
rnacentral:lncRNA from 1 species